GAUGAACGCUGGCGGCGUGCUUAACACAUGCAAGUCGAGCGAAGCGCUUAUGAUGAUUCUUCGGAUGAAUCAUUUGUGACUGAGCGGCGGACGGGUGAGUAACGCGUGAGUAACCUGCCUCAUACAGGGGAAUAACAGUUAGAAAUGACUGCUAAUGCCGCAUAAGCGCACAGGGCCGCAUGGCCCGGUGUGAAAAACUCCGGUGGUAUGAGAUGGACUCGCGUCUGAUUAGCUAGUUGGCAGGGUAACGGCCUACCAAGGCAACGAUCAGUAGCCGGCCUGAGAGGGUGAACGGCCACAUUGGGACUGAGACACGGCCCAAACUCCUACGGGAGGCAGCAGUGGGGAAUAUUGCACAAUGGGGGAAACCCUGAUGCAGCGACGCCGCGUGGAGUGAAA
rnacentral:rRNA from 1 species